rnacentral:rRNA from 1 species
AUGUUCCCCGAGUGGCUCAUCACCGGGGCCUUUGACAUAAAGCCAUGCGGCGUUGCAUACUGGCUCAUCACAGUCGCUCAAAUCCCUGUCGCCGUGGCUUUCACGGCAUGUAUCGUGCACCAAAAAGGAAAAUCGCAGACUCAGAAAAGCCAAGUGGUUGAGCUGGCAAGUUCCAUGAAGAGCAGGCUGGACGCUUUGCCGGUGUACGCCUUCCCGGUGGCUGCUCUGCUGACCGGUGUGAUGGGCGGACUCUUCGGCAUUGGAGGAGGACUGCUUCUCAAUCCUGUCUUGCUCCACAUUGGAGUGCCCCCAAAAACAGCGUCAGCGACGACAAUGUUCAUGGUCCUCUUCUGCGCCUCCAUGUCGAUGGUCCAGUUUAUAAUCCUGGGAGUUGACGGGAUCGUGGGCGCGUUGGUCUACGCCCUCACCUGCUUUGUGGCUUCCAUCGUUGGGCUGGUCGUGAUAGAAGGGGCCAUCAGGAGGUCGGGCAGGGUUUCGCUCAUCGUCCUAAUGGUUGCUGCCAUCUUGGCGCUCAGCGCCGUCGUCAUAGCUUGCUCCGGCGGGGUCCAUGUCUGGGCGCAGUACACCACCGGGCAGUACAUGGGCUUCAAGCUCCCAUGCUAA